AACUGGCAAGACCUAAAAAAACAUGAAGGAAACAUAAAUGCAUAUUACUAAGUAAAAGAAGCCAAUCUGAAGAGUCUACAUACUAUAUGAUUCCAACUAUAUAACAUUCUGGAAAAUGCAAAACUCUGGAGACAGUAAAAGGAUCAGUG